rnacentral:rRNA from 1 species
UACGAAGGGUGCGAGCGUUGUCCGGAAUCACUGGGCGUAAAGGGCGCGUAGGUGGCCUGAUGAGUCAACGGUGAAAGCUCGUCGCUUAACGACGAGUCGGCCGUCGAUACUGUCGGGCUGGAGCACUGUAGAGGCAGAUGGAAUUCCGGGUGUAGCGGUGGAAUGCGUAGAGAUCCGGAAGAACACCGGUGGCGAAGGCGGUCUGCUGGGCAGUUGCUGACACUGAGGCGCGACAGCGUGGGGAGCAAACAGG